rnacentral:lncRNA from 10 species
UAAAAAUACAAACACUAGCUGGACAUAGUGGCUUUUUUGUGCCUGUAAUCCCAGCUACUCAGGAGGCUGAGACAGGAGAAUUGCUUGAACCCGGGAGGUGGAGGUUGCAGUGAGCCGAGAUCACGCCAAUGGACUCCAGCCUGAGCAACAGAGUGAGACUCCAUCUCAGAGAGAGAGAGAAGAAAAGCCAGACUAGUAAGUCAACAUUCAGACAUACAAGACGGAGAUCACCAUGCGAACCCAGCCUGGCCCUUAGAUGUGUGUGCUCGAGCCAGGAUCAUCCAGAGUCUGAUAGCGCCUGCACCCCAACACGGUUGGAUUCCAGGACGCCAGUGCCAAACCCAGAGAAAGGACAACCAGCUUCCAUGCAUUUGCA